rnacentral:rRNA from 1 species
CGGUUUUAGUGGCGGACGGGUGAGUAACGCGUGGGUAACCUGCCUCACACUGGGGGAUAACACUUAGAAAUAGGUGCUAAUACCGCAUAAGCGCACGGGACUGCAUGGUCUUGUGUGAAAAACUCCGGUGGUGUGAGAUGGACCCGCGUCUGAUUAGCUGGUUGGCGGGGUAACGGCCCACCAAGGCGACGAUCAGUAGCCGGCCUGAGAGGGUGGACGGCCACAUUGGGACUGAGACACGGCCCAAACUCCUACGGAAGGCAGCAG